rnacentral:rRNA from 1 species
AACGCUGGCGGYGCUGCUUAACACAUGCAAGUCAGAACGGUAACAGGGCCAGCUUGCUGGCCGCUGACSCGCGUGGCGCACGGGUGAGUAACGCGUGGGUUACCUGCCCAUCAGUGGGGGACAACUACGGGAAACCGUAGCUAAUACCGCAUACGACCUUCGGGUGAAAGCCGGGGACUCCUUCGGGAGCCUGGCGCUGAUGGAUGGGCSCGCGUCCGAUUAGCUUGUKGGUGGGGUAAUGGCUUACCAAGGCGAUGAUCGGUAGCUGGUUUGAGAGGAUGAUCAGCCACACUGGGACUGAGACACGGCCCCAGACUCCUACGGGAGGCAGCAGUGGGGAAUAUUGCACAAUGGGGGAAACCCUGAUGCAGCGACGCCGCGUGCGGGAAGAAGGCCUUCGGGUUGUAAACCGCUUUCAGCAGGGAAGAAGGAAUGAGGGCUAAUACCCCUCUGCCUUGACGGUACCUGCAGAAGAAGCUCCGGCUAAUUUCGUGCCAGCAGCCGCGGUAAUACGAAAGGGGCAAGCGUUGUUCGGAUUUACUGGGCGUAAAGAGAUCGUAGGUGGCUUAUCAAGUCGGAUGUGAAAUCCCGGGGCUCAACCCCGGAACUGCAUUCGAUACUGGUAGGCUAGAGUUCGGGAGGGGGGAUGCGGAAUUCCGCGUGUAGCAGUGAAAUGCGUAGAUAUGCGGAGGAACACCGGAGGCGAAGGCGGCAUCCUGGACCGAUACUGACACUGAGGAUCGAAAGCGUGGGUAGCAAACAGGAUUAGAUACCCUGGUAGUCCACGCCCUWAACGAUGACCACUAGCCGUUGCGRGUWUCGUACMCCUGCAGUGGCGCAGCUAACGCGUAUAAGUGGUUCCGCCUGGGGGAGGUACGGCCGCAAGAUUAAGU